GCUUCUUCUGCAGAGGUAGCAGAGCCCGAAGUUAACGAAGUUUGCGAAAACGAAGUUAACCAGCUGGUGGAAUCUCCUUUUGAAAUCGUCCACGACAACUCCUCCCAUGACAGAUUUAGCCCUGAGGUCAGCAGCAACGCAACUCAAGAUAUUGCAGCAGUUGAUAAUGGCUUCCCUGGAACUACAUGUCAACCGGCGAUGAACGCAACCAGUACUGCACGACCUGUGCUUUACACUUCGUGCCAAGAAGCAAUCCAGGGACGAAUUGCGGAGCUCGAACGUCUACAGGAAGCUACCGCGAGGAAACUGGCGCUCGCUAGGAAGAGGUAUCUUAAAAGCGAAGAAGAAAAGGAAGAAAUCAAGAAAAGGCUCAAAGGACUUUUUAAUGAUGACGAAAUGAGGUCGAUGGAACGACUGUCCGCGCAGGGAGCGCGAUGGGAAGCAGGCACACUCGUCAA